rnacentral:lncRNA from 1 species
UAAUAUAAAUAAAAACUGUAGAUCGAAUAUCGAAGAAAAAUUUCAAAAUUAUCUUAAAACUAAGAAUUCCAAAAUGCAUAAAAUGAAUUGCAGAAAUUAAAUUGAAGCUUAAAACAUAGAUUGCAUAAAAGAUAAAUGUAUGGAUUGCAUAAAAGAGAAAUUACAAAAAUAAAAUGAAGAUUGGAAGCUUAAUGCUUCCUCCUACAAAUAAAAGAAAAACAAGAAAAUUGCAUUUUCUUUCCCUCUCUCUCCCACGGUGGGCCUUCAACAUAAAAUAUAUUUUUUUAUUUCUUUCUUCUUCCCUAGAACAGAGCAAUGCUCUGUUUCUUGGCCUCCACCCCCGAGCACACCCCCUUCCCUCUUCCUCCUUCUCCUUUUAUAGCCGUGGACGGAUGCCUGAUGCGGAAGGGAGAUGGCAGACGCGGUGAGGACGCGGGGAGGAGUCGAUCUUGGCGUGAUCCGGGCGCUGUGGGGAGCUGGAUGCGGUGAUCACGGGCGAUUGCGGACGUGAUGCUGCGAUUUGCUGGAGAAUCACGGCCGGCUGGAUCGAUGCUUGGGCUCACUCGCGGAAUCAUUGGGAGGAGGAAGAGGGUAGACGAGCGUGAGAUCCGUGGAUUUCCUUCACGGGAUGCUGUGAGGAGUUNN